rnacentral:rRNA from 1 species
GAUGAACGCUGGCGACGUGCCUAAUACAUGCAAGUCGAGCGAACAGACGAUGAGCUUGCUCCUCUGACGUUAGCGGCGGACGGGUGAGUAACACGUGGAUAACCUACCUAUAAGACUGGGAUAACUUCGGGAAACCGGAGCUAAUACCGGAUAAUAUAUUGAACCGCAUGGUUCAAUAGUGAAAGACGGUUUUGCUGUCACUUAUAGAUGGAUCCGCACCGCAUUAGCUAGUUGGUAAGGGAACGGCUUACCAAGGCAACGAUGCGUAGCCGACCUGAGAGGGUGAUCGGCCACACUGGUACUGAGACACGGUCCAGACUCCUACGGGAGGCAGCAGAAGGGAAUCUUCCGCAAUGGGCGAAAGCCUGACGGAACAACGCCGCGUGAGUGAUGAAGGUCUUCGGAUCGUAAAACUCUGUUAUUAGGGAAGAACAAAUGUGUAAGUAACUAUGCACGUCUUGACGGUACCUAAUCAGAAAGCCACGGCUAACUACGUG